GCCGUAGCUCAGUGGCAGAACACCUGCCUGGGAAGCAGAAGGUUGUGGGUUCGAUCCCCAGCAUAUCCA